rnacentral:rRNA from 1 species
UUAAGCUAGAAAGGGCGCACGGUGGAUGCCUUGGCACUAGGAGCCGAUGAAGGACGGGGCAAACGCCGAAACGCUCCGGGGAGCUGUAAGCAAGCGUCGAUCCGGAGAUGUCCGAAUGGGGGAACCCACUGUCCGUAAUGGGGCAGUAUCCAUGCCUGAAUCCAUAGGGCAUGGAGGGCACACCCGGGGAACUGAAACAUCUUAGUACCCGGAGGAGAAGAAAGCAAACGCGAUUCCCUGAGUAGCGGCGAGCGAAACGGGAACAGCCCAAACCAAGAGGCGUGCCUCUUGGGGUUGUAGGACCGCUCAUUGUGGGAGUGAGAAAGGAACGGGGUAGACGAACCGGUCUGGAACGGCCGGCCAGAGAAGGUGACAGCCCUGUAGUCGAAACUUCGUUCCCUCCCGAGCGGAUCCUGAGUACGGCGGGACACGAGGAAUCCCGUCGGAAGCAGGGAGGACCAUCUCCCAAGGCUAAAUACUCCCUAGUGACCGAUAGUGAACCAGUACCGUGAGGGAAAGGUGAAAAGCACCCCGGAAGGGGAGUGAAAGAGAACCUGAAACCGUGUGCCUACAAGUAGUCAGAGCCCGUUUAUGGGUGAUGGCGUGCCUUUUGUAGAAUGAACCGGCGAGUUACGAUGACGUGCGAGGUUAAGUCGAAGAGACGGAGCCGCAGCGAAAGCGAGUCUGAAUAGGGCGCUUAGUACGUCGUCGUAGACCCGAAACCAGGUGAUCUACCCAUGCCCAGGGUGAAGGUAGGGUAACGCCUACUGGAGGCCCGAACCCACGCACGUUGAAAAGUGCGGGGAUGAGGUGUGGGUAGGGGUGAAAUGCCAAUCGAACCUGGAGAUAGCUGGUUCUCCCCGAAAUAGCUUUAGGGCUAGCCUCAAGGGAAGAGUCUUGGAGGUAGAGCACUGAUUGAGCUAGGGGCCCUCAUCGGGUUACCGAACUCAGUCAAACUCCGAAUGCCAAUGACUUAUCCUUGGGAGUCAGACUACGAGUGAUAAGAUCCGUAGUCGAGAGGGAAACAGCCCAGACCACCAGCUAAGGUCCCUAAGUGUACGUUAAGUGGAAAAGGAUGUGGAGUUGCUUAGACAACCAGGAUGUUGGCUUAGAAGCAGCCAUCAUUUAAAGAGUGCGUAAUAGCUCACUGGUCGAGUGACUCUGCGCCGAAAAUGUACCGGGGCUAAACGUACCACCGAAGCUGUGGGAUGACCGCUGGUCAUCGGUAGGGGAGCGUUCUAAGCGCGCCGAAGCGAGACCGGAAGGACUCGUGGAGCGCUUAGAAGUGAGAAUGCCGGUGUGAGUAGCGAAAACAGAGGUGAGAAUCCUCUGCACCGAAAGCCUAAGGGUUCCUGAGGAAGGUUCGUCCGCUCAGGGUUAGUCGGGACCUAAGCCGAGGCCGAAAGGCGUAGGUGAUGGGCAACAGGUUGAGAUUCCUGUACCACCUCCUCACCGUUUGAGCAAUGGGGGGACGCAGGAAGGUAGGGCGAGCAGGCUGCUGGAAUAGCCUGUCCAAGCGGUUAGGCUGCCAGAUAGGCAAAUCCGUCUGGCAUAAAGGCUGAGCCGUGAUGGCGAAGGGACCAUCGGUCCCGAAGUCCCCGAUCCUACACUGCCAAGAAAAGCCUCUAGCGAGGUGAGAGGUGCCCGUACCGCAAACCGACACAGGUAGGCGAGGAGAGAAUCCUAAGGUGCGCGGGAGAACUCUCGUUAAGGAACUCGGCAAAAUGACCCCGUAACUUCGGGAGAAGGGGUGCUCUCUUGGGUGAUGAGCCCGAGAGAGCCGCAGUGAAAAGGCCCAAGCGACUGUUUAUCAAAAACACAGGUCUCUGCGAAGCCGAAAGGCGAAGUAUAGGGGCUGACACCUGCCCGGUGCUGGAAGGUUAAGGGGAGCGCUUAAGCCGCAAGGCUGAAGGUGCGAACCGAAGCCCCAGUAAACGGCGGCCGUAACUAUAACGGUCCUAAGGUAGCGAAAUUCCUUGUCGGGUAAGUUCCGACCCGCACGAAAGGUGUAACGACUUGGGCACUGUCUCAACC